rnacentral:rRNA from 1 species
GACAGAGGGUGCAAACGUUGCUCGGAAUUACUGGGCGUAAAGCGCGUGUAGGCGGGUGCGCAAGUCAGAUGUGAAAUCCCUGGGCUCAACCCAGGAACUGCAUUUGAAACUGCGCAUCUGGAGUGUCGGAGAGGAAAGCGGAAUUCCUGGUGUAGAGGUGAAAUUCGUAGAUAUCAGGAGGAACACCGGUGGCGAAGGCGGCUUUCUGGACGAUUACUGACGCUGAGACGCGAAAGCGUGGGGAGCAAACAGG